UACGAAGGGGGCUAGCGUUGCUCGGAAUCACUGGGCGUAAAGCGCACGUAGGCGGCUUCUUAAGUCAGGGGUGAAAUCCUGGAGCUCAACUCCAGAACUGCCUUUGAUACUGGGAGGCUCGAGUCCGGGAGAGGUGAGUGGAACUGCGAGUGUAGAGGUGAAAUUCGUAGAUAUUCGCAAGAACACCAGUGGCGAAGGCGGCUCACUGGCCCGAUACUGACGCUGAGGCACGAAAGCGUGGGGAGCAAACAGG
rnacentral:rRNA from 1 species